CAAGAAUACAGAUCAUACCAGGAAGGCUAAGGACCAUGAGAAGGGGUGUUACCUGGAGAGAUGCUGUGCAGCACUGAAGGCGGUGAAGUCCUUCAGGACGGCUUAUGCUGAUGGAUCACCUCUUCACUCCUUGGGAUGAUCUACAGGAAGAUCCUCUAGGCCUUCCCAAAGAAAACAACUAUAAACUCUGGACAAUAAUUGAAUUAAAUUACCUAAAGGCUCUGAAGAGAGAAGAAAAGCAUGUAGAUUCUGAAGAAGACUCAAAACAUAAAAUAUGGACUGACACAGGAUGAGUUUCCUGUUUUUAUAUCCUUUAUCUUGAGGGCAAACAGACAGGCUGCCAGUGACUCCACAUGAGAAUCUGGGAAGAAGGAAGGACAGUCAUUGAGGCUGAUCCCUAUUUCUGGAAAUGUAGAGAACUCAUGGAAACUGGAACGAUUGAUGCUCAAAGACACAUCAAAUGGAUCUAGGUA